rnacentral:tRNA from 1 species
AAGGUUAUAGCUCAGUAGUAGAGCACAUGCUUAGCAUGCAUGAGGUCCUGGGUUCAAUCCUCAGUACCUCCA